UNCCAUGUGUAGCGGUGAAAUGCGUAGAUAUAUGGAGGAACACCGGUGGCGAAAGCGGCUCUCUGGUCUGUAACUGACGCUGAGGCUCGAAAGCGUGGGGAGCAAACAGGAUUAGAUACCNUGGUAGUCCACGCCGUAAACGAUGAGUGCUAGGUGUUAGGCCCUUUCCGGGGCUUAGUGCCGCAGCUAACGCGUUAAGCACUCCGCCUGGGGAGUACGACCGCAAGGUUGAAACUCAAAGGAAUUGACGGGGGCCCGCACAAGCGGUGGAGCAUGUGGUUUAAUUCGAAGCAACGCGAAGAACCUUACCAGGUCUUGACAUCCCUCUGACCGCUCUAGAGAUAGAGUUUUCCUUCGGGACAGAGGUGACAGGUGGUGCAUGGUUGUCGUCAGCUCGUGUCGUGAGAUGUUGNNNNAANNNNNNNNNNCGAGCGCAACCCCUAUUGUUAGUUGCCAUCAUUCAGUUGGGCACUCUAGCGAGACUGCCGGUAAUAAACNGGAGGAAGGUGGGGAUGACGUCAAAUCAUCAUGCCCCUUAUGACCUGGGCUACACACGUGCUACAAUGGCUGGUACAACGAGUCGCAAGCCGGUGACGGCAAGCUAAUCUCUGAAAGCCAGUCUCAGUUCGGAUUGUAGGCUGCAACUCGCCUACAUGAAGUCGGAAUCGCUAGUAAUCGCGGAUCAGCACGCCGCGGUGAAUACGUUCCCGGGCNU
rnacentral:rRNA from 1 species